rnacentral:tRNA from 1 species
AAGGGCAUAGCUCAGGGGUACAGUGCAUGCCUAGCAUGCAUGAGGUCCUGGAUUCAAUCUCCGGUGCCUCCA